rnacentral:lncRNA from 10 species
AUUAAGGGUGGCAUCUUGCUGAAAGAUAGCAAGGAGCUAAGGCCCUCAGUCUGACAGCCCACCAGUAACUGAAUCACACCAAUACCCAUGUGAAAUAGGAAGCAGAUUCUUCCCCAGUUGAACCUGAAAUCAAAUCUGAGUCCUGGACAGCAUAGCAAUAGAAGCAUUGUAAGAGAUCCUAAAGGAUAUGGCUACCAGGAGAAAGCUUGCUUGUUGGUGGGAAGAUUCCUUUUCAGUUGUCUGAAGGAGACCCAGUAAUGAAUGCCCUUUGUGCCUACACUGGGUUCGUUUAUCUUGACAUGGCCGUCAACUGCAGCUGCAGACCUCAACCUAUGCCAGAAUGAUGGUGGUGACUUGUACAAAGAAAUGUUAGAGAAAGAGCCACUGUAAAGACAACAUUGCCAAGACAUGGAAUCAGUCCAAAUGUCCAUCAGUGGCUGAGUGGAUAAAGAAAACAUGGAAUAUAUACAAAAUGGAAUAAUAAACGGCCAUAAAAAAUAUCAAAAUCCUGUCAUUUGCAACAUGAAUGAACCUGGAAAACAUUAUGCUGAGUGAAAUAAGAAGGAGUGUUAAGUCUGAUAUUGAAGAAUCCAGUUUAUCCAGAUAUUUUGUAUAUAACAAGAGAAGCACCUAAUGCAAAUAAAAUGUAUCCCCUGAAGAAAGACUACUGCCAGGUUGAAGGAAACGGUCAAAUUUACAUGAACAAGAGCUUGUUAUGAGAUUUAGUGGACAGAAUUCUUUUUUUGAGGUGGGAAGAUGUGUGCAAUGGCGCAAUCUCACCUCACUGCAACCUCUGCCUUCUGGAUUCAAGCGAUUCUCCUGCCUCAGCCUCCCGAAUGCUGGGAUUACAGGCACCUGCCACCAUGCCCAGCUAAUAUUUUGUAUUUUUUUUUUUUUAGUAGAGAUGGGGUUUCACCAUGUUGACCAGGUUGGUCUUGAACUCCUGAACUCAGGUGAUCUGCUUGCCUUGACCUCCCAAAGUGCCGGGAUUACAGGUGUGAGCCACCGCCCAUGAUCCCUCCCCAGGUGCACAUGCUGUGUAUAUGCCCCUGGCCUUGGGUGGGACUGUUAAUAUGACGGAGCAUCACUCUUGUGAUUAGUUUAUAAUAUAUCACAAAACUGAAGGAAGUUUUAGAUGUAAUUAAGGUUCAAAACAGUUGAUUUCAAGAUAUCAAAAGGGAGAGUAACUUGGAUGGGUCUGAUUUAUUCAGAUGAGGGGAUUUCAAAGGGUCAGAGAUGCAAAGAGAGAAAGAUUCUCACAGUAACUUAGAACAAGUAACCUACUAUGUUGGUUUUGUGAACUACAGGGUAAAGCACUGCAGGAGGCCGUUGGUUGCUGAGAGCAGCCCCAGGAUGUCAGUUGGCAAGAAAAGAGGGACCUCUGUCCUACAACCUCAAGGAACUGAAUACAGCCCAAACUAUGCUAACUGGAAAGAGGACUCCAAGCCUCAGAUGAGAGCUCAUCACUGGCUGACAACUUUUGACACCUUGAGCAGAGGACUCAGUUAACCUGCACCCAAUGCUUAUGUCUCCCCCAAAUUAAUCCUAACCCCCAAAGGGGUGAUAUGGGAGGUGGAGACUCUGGGACGUGAUUAGAUAAUGAGGGCAGAGCCCUCGUGAGUGAAAUUAGUGCCCUUAUAAAAGAGGUCUAAGGAAGACCCCUCACUCUUUCUACCUUGUUGAGGACAGAGGUGCUGUUUAUGAAGUGGGACCUGGUCAGACACCUAUACUUAGAGGAUAUCCAUUCCCUAAUUUCCAGAAACUGUUAAUAUGUUGCCUUAUGUGGCAAAAGAGACAUUGAAAAUGUGACUGACCCUAUGGAUCUUGAGAGGGAGAGUUAUCCUGGAUUGUCUGAGUGAACUCAGAACAAGAGUACAUAAAAGUAGAAAAUAAUUGUCUGCUGAGGACACAAGAAAUCUGGAAGCACGAGAAAGCAGGAGAGUUCUGUGACAUCGUUUGUGAACCC